CUGAGGUACAGUCAAGUGAAGAUCUGAGAGUGUCUGGUGUUCCUGAGGGAGGCCGAGGCCUAGUCACACAGCCACGCAGCUACUACCAGUAACCCCUGUGGAAGUGAUCGCCCGCGGUACAGAUGUGUAAACAUGUCCAGGAUGUGGGGGCUGAUAUCCUCAAGUCACGGCUAAAGAAACGGAAUUGGGACCGGACCUCUACAACCAUUUUCACACGGAUGAUGCUACUUUUCCCAUGUUCUGCUCUUAUUGAUUGUUUUCCUCUUGUUGCAGUAACCAUAUUGAUGAUUCUUUCGUGUACAGGUGCACAGUGUGAUUGUGCUUUUUGUAUUAUUGUAGACAUAUUCAAAGCAUAAACUAUGAAUUAUAGAUAUACCUCAUAAAAGUGUAUCUGACACACAAAUACUAACGCUGCCCUAUAAAGUACACAAGCACCCUACAAACCAACUAGUAAAGGAAUGUAUCACACAAAUUAUACUAUCUUUUAUCCUUGUUUAUUAGGGACUAACCCAUAAAAAUAACCCAUAUAUACAAAUAAUCAACAUAUAUCUGAAUAGAAUCCGCACCAAAAAGGAAUGUUUUCUCACUCAUAAAGAAAUGAAAAAUCCUUAAAAUAACCAGGGCUGAAUUAAGAACAUCAAGGUCCUGGUGCUGAGGAUUUUAAUGGGCCUACAAGUGCCCAUGACCUAACAGCUGGGUUGCCGCCAUUUGUGGGUUGCAGUGCGACUCAGUUUACUUACAUUAUGUGCGACACAUAUGAUACACAGUAUAACAUAGGUAGAUAGCCAGGUAAGUAGCUUGACAAGUAGGUUGUUAGCUAGCUAGGUAGGCAGCUAGGUAGAUAGCUAAGUAGUUGGGUAGGUAGGUAGGUAGCACUCACAUCCCCUACACAUAAUGCCCAGGCCCAGCUGCCCCAUGUGCUUGACCCCCGGCAUGGACCUCUUUAGUUCAUACAGAUGCUUGCUGCCACCUGAUGCUAUCCUGCCCACAAAGGAUCUGGCUGGCUGUAGAGCAGAGAGCGCUAGGAAGGCUCCUUACCUACAUGAUGCCAGACACUGUGCUGCCUGUGUCCGAGAAUGAAAUGCUGCCACCAUAUAAUAACACAAGUAAGAUAAUACCAGUCUACAAGGAUAAAUAUAAUCAACAUACAUAUUACCAUCAUACUGUUACUGACCAAAUCCUGCAUACUGUAUACUGCUAUAUGACACUUGAUAUGUAAUAAAACACUA